rnacentral:rRNA from 1 species
UACGUAGGGUGCAAGCGUUGUCCGGAAUUAUUGGGCGUAAAGGGCUCGUAGGCGGUCCAUCGCGUCGGGAGUGAAAAGCUGGGGCUUAACCCCAGUCCUGCUUCCGAUACGGGUGGACUAGAGGUAGGUAGGGGAGAUCGGAAUUCCUGGUGUAGCGGUGAAAUGACGCAGAUAUCAGGAGGAACACCGGUGGCGAAGGCGGAUCUCUGGGCCUUACCUGACGCUGAGGAGCGAAAGCAUGGGGAGCAAACAGG